AAGAACCAGUCACUACUUUGGUUCUCACCAGGUGGGACCCGCUUGUCGGUCAGUAGACACGAGCGGAGCACCGAGCAGGCGCGCAGCACAUCAUCUGUCACACCGGCGGCGGCGGCGGCAUGGGGAUGGGCGGUCGAGGUGUGGUUGGCGACAGGUGGUCGCAGCGCGUCCUCUGGAUGUGCGCCAUCGGCAGCGCCGUGAGCCUGUACUUCUUGGCGGUGGAGAGGCAGGCGCAGAACCGCGCGCGGGCGGUGUCCGAGGGCUUUAAGGGCCUGGACGGCGCAGACGGAGGUGGCAGCCGUGGCGGGGAGGACGUGUGACUUUGGCGGCGCCGAGGUGAAAGGGCGUGUAGGCAUGUGCCUUUCUGCUCGAAGCCUGAGACAAGUUAGAGUUUGCUUAUCUGCUGCUUGUUCACAAGAUUCACAGAAUCGUUGCAAUAAGAAUGUACUGCUAAUUGCUCCCUGUGUUGCUGUAUGUCAAUGUUUGGGGGCAAGAAUUGUUAUCUGACGACAUGAUGCUUUUUUGUGUGAAAUGUGAGUUGGAAAAUUCAGAUUAUGCUUCA